CAGCAGCCGCGGUAAACGUAGGAGGCGAGCGUUAUCCGGAUUUAUUGGGCGUAAAGGGCAUGCAGGUGGUUUCGUUAGUCGGAUGUGAAAGCCUCUGGCUUAACUAGAGGAGGUCGUUCGAUACUGCGAAACUAGAGGUCGGGAGAGGAAAGUGGAAUUCCCGGU
rnacentral:rRNA from 1 species